rnacentral:tRNA from 1 species
AUUUAAAUAGUUUAAUUUAAAACGUUAAUUUGUGGAGUUAAAAAUAAAUAUUAAUAUUUUUUAAAUA